UGGGGAUUAUUGCACAAUGGGCGCAAGCCUGAUGCAGCCAUGCCGCGUGUAUGAAGAAGGCCUUCGGGUUGUAAAGUACUUUCAGCGGGGAGGAAGGGAGUAAAGUUAAUACCUUUGCCCAUUGACGUUACCCGCAGAAGAAGCACCGGCUAACUCCGUGCCAGCAGCCGCGGUAAUACGGAGGGUGCAAGCGUUAAUCGGAAUUACUGGGCGUAAAGCGUACGCAGGCGGUUUGUUAAGUCAGAUGUGAAAUCCCCGGGCUCAACCUGGGAACUGCAUUUGGUACUGGCAAGCUUGAGUCUCGUAGAGGGGGGUAGAAUUCCAGGUGUAGCGGUGAAAUGCGUAGAGAUCUGGAGGAAUACCGGUGGCGAAGGCGGCCCCCUGGACGAAGACUGACGCUCAGGUGCGAAAGCGUGGGGAGCAAACAGG
rnacentral:rRNA from 1 species